GCCUUCCUGCUUCAUUUCAGUUUCCACAGGUGCCGCUCUUGUCUCCCUGAUGAAAGAAGAUGCUUCUUACGAGCCUCUGUACCGGGGCACUUACAACCGGCACUGAAAUGAUUUCUGCUUCUGCCUCCCGCUGGACUGUGGCCUUCUCUGGGACAGUGACUUGGUCCCUGUCUUUGCUCCCGUUGUGCUGCACAUAGUAGGUGCUCCUUACAUGCCUGAUGUUGGAAGGCCUCUUUCCAGGAAUCCCUAGCGGCAGGUCGGUCUUCAGCCGCCAGGUGGCACUAGUGCCCAGGCCCUGCCAGCGCGGGGCGGGCGGUGGCCCUGGGAGAGGCUUAGGCGCUGGUGGCAGGUGGUGCUAAGGUUCGCCGCGUAUUAUCCUUUCACCCCUAGACUAACCGCAGGGGCAGGUCGAAGUGGUUAGAGUCAGAGAAACUGGGAGGGGUUGGCAGGUCGAUAGCCGGGACGUCAGGAUGCAGCCCGGAUUAAGGAACCAAAUUCCGCGCAGUGUGAGCGCAGGUGAAAGGGUUUGUAAACUGGAAAGAGCUCUACGAGUAGGAGGUGCUGAUGGUUUAGCUCGUGUCGCCUGGCAGCCUGGAGACCUCAGGAAACACCGCUGGGUGGGAUCAGCGGGAAGAGUGUACGGGGCCUCCUUGAUCCACGGUCACACUUCUGGGUCCUGAAUCCCAGGCAGGGCUCCGACCCCACGGCCACGGGCACAGGGGCCCGUUCCCAUGAGCCGAGCACAGCACCGCCCCACCGCCCACCUUUGGGCCGCUCACCCACCAGAAUGGUUUCCUCCGGCCUCCCAGCCUCACCGAACGGACAGAGCUCCCAGUGGCCUCACUCGGACGAAGCUGCUGCUUUUCUCUUUUGACACGGCAGCACAGCAUAUUACCGAUUUUAAAAAGUACCCACAAACAAAAGACUUAAGAUGUUAAAGUGCUGAAUUUAAUGGAUUCCUCAGCGACUAUACCGAGACCACACACACCCUGCGCAUCCUGCCUGUGCUCACGUCACGGUCAGAGCCCGUUGGGUUGAAGAGGCAGCAGCCACCCUGCGGGGUGCCCCAUCUCCCCUGCUGCCCUGCCUCGCCCCAGCCUUUUAGGGGGCAGGUGAAGUGAAGCUCUCAGCUGCGGCCACGGAAGAAGGUUGCAUGUCCUUGAGAAUGAGGUCUAUUCUGGGGCCCUGGGGCCUUUCUCUGGAAGGCUGGAGCGGUCCUGGCUCUUCCGGUCAGCCUCUGGCCCUGGACUUGUCAGUGUGCUGUUUGGAUCAGAGAAUGAAGCCAGAGAGUGGAAAAGGGGGGCAGGAAGAGGCUUUCAAGGGGCCUUGGUGGGACCCUGACAGCAGGAACACUAGAUAUAGGGACAUUCGUUUGAGGUUUAUGAGCGAUGGAUGGCUCCUGACUUUAGGUCACCUCUUUGCUAAUUUCCUCCUCUUCUGAGUUCCUGCUCUGCAAAAUCCAGUCCUUCCCCUUUUGUGUCUCCUUUACUGUCACCGGUCACCAAACUCACACUUCUGAUACCAGAUCUGAGGGUUUUCCCCUACAUCAAGCAAUUCUGGGACACCAACUGGGUGUCCUACCAUUCAACUCAAUUCUGACACUGUCUACCUGGAGAUGGUGUCAGAUCCCACCAGGUUAAGGGCUCAGUCCCGCAAGACCAUCACCGCCCCCUCACCUCCCUGCAGCACACACACACACACACACACACACACACACACGCUCCCGAGGCUGUUACCUGUGCUUCUGACUGAUCACCUGUAAAUCAGAGGUUCCCAUGAACCCCUCCUCGGAUUCAAUUAAUUUGCUAGAAUGGCUCAGAGGACUCAAGAAAAGUUUGCUUGCAGUUUUCCCAGCUUAUUAAAAGAUACUGAAGGACACAGAUGAACGUUCAAAUGGAAGACAGGUGUAAGGCAAGGUGUGUGAGAAGGGGACCUCUGACCCCCUGACCCCCUAGGCACACCACUCUCCCUGCACCUCCACGUGUGGGCCAACCUGGAAGCUCUGUGAACCCCAUACUAUUAGGAUUUUUACAGAGGCUCCCCACAUAGGCCUGAUGGACUGCUAACCCCAUUUCCUGCCCUGCUACCCUCUCUGGAGAAAUGGGUGGGGCUGAAACUCCUAAGCUGCUAAUCAUGGCUUGGUCUCUCUGGCAGCCAGCCCCCCACCUGGGAGCCACCUCAUUAGAACAAAAGACAUUGCUCUUACCAGGAAAUUCCCAGUGAUUUUGGAACUAUGAAUCAGGAACUGGGGGUCAAAGCUGAAUAUUGGAACAAAAGAUGCUCCUAGUACUCUUAUCACUUAGGAAAUUACAAGGUUUCAGGAGCUCUGGGCCAGGAACUGGGGCCAGAGACCAAUAUAUGAAUUUUCUAUUAUUUCACAGUUAUCAACCAUUGAUGGUCCCACUGGCCCCUCACGCUCAGGCCCCUGGGCUGGGGCUCCCCUUCCUGCCCGAGGUCUCUGUAGGCCAGCACACUCCCUGCUGGGCAGCUUGGGGUCUGUCUGCCUCCACCCCUCCCAUCCAGUGUUUUGCCAAGCGAAUCCACCCUGUCUCCACCCUGUCACCUCUGCACCCCAUCCUGGUCCUGACUCCGCCCUCAUCUCUGCCUGGAUUUUGGUGAUGUCUCCUGUCUGGCCCCAUGUCUCGAGUGUCCCCCAGGAGGCCUGACUGUCCUGAAGAAUCCUCCUGAACUAGCCUCUGGUCCUGCCUCAGCCCUGUUCAAAGAGCUUCACUGAUGGCAGCUUAUCGCAGAGUUUAUUUCAGAUGCCUCAGCCUUGCUGUCAGCAUCCUGUACAGCCUCCCUGCUCAAAGUGGGGUCCUCAGACCUGCAGCACCAGUGUCACCCAGGAGCUUGUGAGAAAUGCAGAAUCUGGGGCCCUCCAGGCCUCCUGAAUCAGAAUCUGCUUCUUAACAAGAUGGCCAAGUGAAUCGGAUGCAAUUCACGCAGGAAGAGUGCUGGCAUUGAGCUCAGGAUUUUUUCCUCUCCAUUUCUUCUCUCUUCCUGGGGUUGCUGGUUAUCUGUGUGUAUCUCCACUGGCAGUCCCAUACUGCUCUUCUUUGUUCUAACUGCUUCCCGAUUAUUUUCUCUAUAAUAAUUUUCUCUUCCUGUCUUCCACAUCACUGGUAUGGUUUCCUGUAGUGUUGAUUGCAUUCUUCACACUUUUUAUAUCUGCAAAAGAAUUACUUUUCUCCUCAAUUAUCUUAGCCCACCCCCCAUCCGCUUGAGAUAUCUUCAUUCUUCUUUCCUCUCCGGUUUCGUCAGUCUUUUGCAAACUCUUGUUCCGUUAUUUUGGAAGACCAGAUAUUUGUGCAGGUCUCACAUUAGUGUUUUUCUUUCUUUCUUUCUUUCUGCUUUUUCACCUUUGAUUGGGGUCUGUCUACUUGCCCUGUCUGGGUCCAUUGCUCCUAGGGUCCAAACUGGUGCACUUUGUGGUCUCAGGGUUACUAUGUUUGCUUUUGUGCUAAAGCAUCCCACAGGAGGUCCCGGUGACAACACAGAGCAUGACCCUGCUGGGGGCUGCCGAGUACGUGGUUCACGUGGAAGAGAUGGGUGGGAAGGAAGGCCAUGGGGGAGUGCAGAAUAACUACGAUGACACGUGCUGAGCCCUGGGGUGCACCCACGGCCCUGAGCGCUGACCACAUACUAUGAACUCAGUGACUCAUGCAGCGGCGCUGUGAGGGAAGGCCUUUGAUGACUCCACCCCCGGGCAGGUGAGAGACUGAGGCACGGGGAGGCCCCUGCUCAAGUAGACAGCAGGAAGUGGGGUAGGGUACAGAGUAGGCAGUGUGGCCCCAAAGUCCCGUUUCUCCCCAUGAGUGCGAAGACUCACUCCAUUUGCCCACAGGUCACUUCAUCUAAAGCCAGUUUGCUGACAGGCAGUUGACAGAAUCCAUUUACUAAAUGAGCAAAUCACUGAAUGACCAAUUUGCUUAAUUUGCUAAACUUAUUAAGUAUUUACUUUUAUCAAUUAUUGAUACAGUUUAUGACAGUUUGAAUUGGGUGGAUUCACAGGGUUCAUGAGAAUUGGGGGGAGCAAGGACCCCAGGGUUCUGGGUCAGACUGCCUCCUGGCCUCAGUCUCCCCUCUCUCUGCCUGUCAGCCCCCUCAUCACGCUGCCCCCACACCCCCUUUCAGGGACCACCCAUUCAGUCUGUCCUAUGAACUGCCUUCCCUUCUUUCUUCUAGCAGGGAACUGGGUAGAGAAACAGCACACAUUGCUUAAGGUCCUCGUAGAAGAAGUAAUGAAAACCUGUCAACUAAAAUACAGAAGAAAUCUUCAAGAGCUGUUAAACCAUUCCAUCCAGUAUGAAUUGCUUUAAGCGUUAUACAUAGUUCAAAGAAAGAAGUUUCUGGUAAGUGGAUAGAUUUGAUCAGUACGAUGAGAUGACAAUCUUCGCUGAAGUGGCCAUCUGGCAAAUGGGCUCACUUCUGCUCCCCCAGCACCUCUCAAACAGGCACACCAGCUCGAAAGUUCCUGCUCCGUGGCUGUCAGGGGCAUAUCUGACUUGCAAGCAAAGAUUUGGGAUUCUAGCUUUGUGGCACCAACUUAUUAAAGUUCAUUAGCAGUCAUAUAAUAAAUACCCACAAUUGUAGCAAAGGCCUAAGGAAGAAAUUUUUUGUUCUAUGAUUCCAGUAGCAAUUGAUUUUGAUAUAUACUGAGUGGAGAUUUCAGUCAUGCUGUAAUGCUAAUUUUCUUUCAGAUGAAUAGUACAGUUUUACAGAUAUAUUAGGUGUCACCUGACAGUUUGUGUUAAGAAUGACGUUGCUCUUUUGAACUAGUAAACAAAGGCUUUAAUCAAGCAUUGUAUAACAAAUGUACAUGAACUAGCAUUGUUUGUAUUCAAGUUCAAAGAGUAAGUAUAGAACCUUAUGCUACAGUUUUUUUCCUACAAUCCCAACAUUAAUGACUUGUUUCAGCGAAACAAAAACACCCAUCAUAUAACAUUCAAGUUGUAGGUUUGAAUAUCUGUGUGACUAACCAUUGCAUCAUUGUUUUACUGCUUUAUUUUUAUUUACUUUAUAUACAUUUUUUGCUUUGUAGUAUAAAAACUAUAAGCACAGACAUUUAUACAUAUUUUCAUAUUUAUACAUCUUUAAGUAAAUUAUAAUAAAAAUAAUUUAAAUCAA